CCUCUGGCUCAGAACUGACAGAAGGCAGCAGCACAGAGCCUCAACUGCCAGGAUGAAUUCUGCCAGUUGCAGAAGUCAGGACCCACCUCCCCAGUGGUAAAAUUAAACCUAAGUUACUACGUCCCGCAGGUGUUGAUGGAAGGCACAAACCACCUGGCAAACCGCAGGCCUUGGAAGAGGUACAAACUAAACGCAGACAGGAAAUCCCCCACCCAGCCAGGACCUGGAAGUUGCCUGCACCCAAAGAAGAAGUAACGGGCGAUGGUUUACUUUAGGUUGGUUAUUUGCAAAUGACUGGAUGUGAGUGACGUUAGUUUCCUGAGCUUUGCAGUAAUGCUAUCAAAUGAGUAAAACACCAGCCCUUGCUAUCUCCUCUGACCAGCUUCCUCUAACUGGUAGGUUCUCUCCUCUCUGAAGACCUGAUCCUGAUCUCUUUGAAUCAUGAUGUGGGUGUCAAAGAAGCAAUUCUGGCAGCCAGUAUCUCCCAGUGAAGCUGGGUCACAGUCAGGGCUGGCCAAGGGAUAAGGAAAGGUAAUUAUGUCCAUGAGUGGCAAGGAAGUAAAAAGUCUUUGUUCUCAUCUUUACUAUUCCUUCACAAAGACCCAAAAGCUGACAAAGAUUAUAGGGCAACAGAGAGAGGUUCAUUUUUUACAGUUGUAAACAUAGCCACAAGGAGGAAGCUGGCUGGGACACAGUCCCAUACUUUUUUCCCUGGCAUCCCAUUUCACCUGAAUCUUUGCUGGAGUAACACAUCUUCUCUGAAAUACAACCAAGUGACAGUUUUUCAUUCCCUUACUCACACACCUCCCUGACCCAGCAUGCCCUUGUAAGUUCAGACUGGUCUCAGGUAACUCUGUGUGUAUUUAUCUUGCAUAAGCAAUCGAUCACUUACGUCUUCUGUUUUAUGGAUCUUCUCCCAUCCGACACCUGGCUCCAUUACAGUUUGUUGUAUUCCAUGAUGACCAUGAUGUAGAGACUCUACUACAGCUCCCAGCUCCUGCAUCAGCACCAACACCCAUGAGGUAGGCACUGCAACAGAAAGGGAAGAACUGUGUAACUACAAUGGCCAGUUACUCCUUUCAGUCUCCAGGAAGAAAUGUCUGGAUUUUGUCAGUGCAACAGCAAUCCGUAGAUUUUUGUUUUUCUCUGAGCCACAUUCAGUUGGGGUCUGUAAUAUCUGGAACCAUUUUUGCUAAAAAUGUGAAGACAGGAGCCAAGCUUUGACAUUUGUAGACUGAACUUAACUAUCAGGAUGCUUUCAUGGUGGCCCUUGGUGGUAUGCUCGAUGCUCCUCCCCAGACCUCCUCCUCAUAACAGCCACCAGAACUGUGGGUCAUUCCAGAAGCCCUAGGCUGUGAUGUGGAGCCACCACUUGCCCAAGGUGAGUCACAAAAGCUCCUUCCACAGCACGUUUGCCAGCUGGCAACCAGUUGUGCAAAUGCAAUAGGGGACACAAGAAAACUGGAGAGUCUGCCAUAGUGGGGUCACAAGAAUCUCCUCCCCAGCUUGUGGAGUGGUACACAGGGGGCUGCAUCUCCAGCUUCAGCUGUAGCAGCCACACAGAGGGGUCUCCUGCUCAGCCCAAGGUGAUCUGAGCACAGUAACCGGGAGGGCUUGUGCAGGACACUCUGGCAGUUCAGUACUUCUGCACAGCUU